GAGAGGCGUCAUCGGCCGCGCCCGCCGCUCAAGUCCCUUGGAACAGGGUGUCGGAGAGGGUGAGAAUCCCGUACCGUGGCGGGUUGCGGCCUUACGAUGCGUCCUCGUCGAGUCGGGUUGCUUGGGAUUGCAGCUUGAAUUGGGUGGUAAAUUCCAUCUAAAGCUAAAUACUGGCGAGAGACCGAUAGCGAACAAGUACCGUGAGGGAAAGAUGCAAAGAACUUUGAAAAGAGAGUCAAAGAGUGCUUGAAAUCGGUAGGAGGAAACCCGGAUGGGCCCGGCUUCGGCGCGCCGACUCAGCCUGGGGUUCUCCCCAGGUGCACUUCUGCGCGCCGGGUCAGCCGCGCCUCGGCGCCGCGCCUCAACCCGGGAGCGGGGCUUUACGGCCAGCUCCCGUCCUGGCGCGGCCCGGGGCCCGGCUGACGGAACGGGCCCCUCCGACCCGUCUAGAAACACGGACCAAGGAGUCUGACACGUGUGCGAGUACCCGGGUGGCAAGCCCGCGUGCGGAAUGAAAGUGAAGGGCAUGCCCUGCCAACCGACCUUGACCUGCUGUGAGGGGUUUGAGUGGAGCACACCUGUCGGGACCCGAAAGAUGGUGAACUAUGCCUGGGUAGGGUGAAGCCAGAGGAAACUCUGGUGGAGGCUCGUAGCGAUACUGACGUGCAAAUCGUUCGUCGAAUCUGGGUAUAGGGGCGAAAGACUAAUCGAACCAUCUAGUAGCUGGUUCCCUCCGAAGUUUCCCUCAGGAUAGCUUGAACGCAACGGUUUUGUCAGGUAAAGCGAAUGAUUAGAGGCCUGUGGGCUGAAACAGCUUGCACCUAUUCUCAAACUUUAAAUGGGCAAGAGGCCCGGGAU
rnacentral:rRNA from 1 species